GAUGAACGCUGGCGGCGUGCCUAACACAUGCAAGUCGAGCGAUCUUCUUCGGAAGAGAGCGGCGGACGGGUGAGUAACGCGUGGGUAACCUGCCCUGUACACACGGAUAACAUACCGAAAGGUAUGCUAAUACGGGAUAACAUAAGAAAGUCGCAUGGAUUUCUUAUCAAAGCUUUUGCGGUACAGGAUGGACCCGCGUCUGAUUAGCUAGUUGGUAAGGUAACGGCUUACCAAGGCGACGAUCAGUAGCCGACCUGAGAGGGUGAUCGGCCACAUUGGAACUGAGACACGGUCCAAACUCCUACGGGAGGCAGCAGUGGGGAAUAUUGCACAAUGGGCGAAAGCCUGAUGCAGCAACGCCGCGUGAGCGAUGAAGGCCUUCGGGUCGUAAAGCUCUGUCCUCAAGGAAGAUAAUGACGGUACUUGAGGAGGAAGCCCCGGCUAACUACGUGCCAGCAGCCGCGGUAAUACGUAGGGGGCUAGCGUUAUCCGGAAUUACUGGGCGUAAAGGGUGCGUAGGCGGUCUUUCAAGUCAGAAGUGAAAGGCUACGGCUCAACCGUAGUAAGCUUUUGAAACUGUAAGACUUGAGUGCAGGAGAGGAGAGUGGAAUUCCUAGUGUAGCGGUGAAAUGCGUAGAUAUUAGGAGGAACACCAGUUGCGAAGGCGGCUCUCUGGACUGUAAC
rnacentral:rRNA from 1 species